rnacentral:rRNA from 1 species
GACGAACGCUGGCGGCGUGCCUAAUACAUGCAAGUCGAACGCUUCUUUCCUCCCGAGUGCUUGCACUCAAUUGGAAAGAGGAGUGGCGGACGGGUGAGUAACACGUGGGUAACCUACCCAUCAGAGGGGGAUAACACUUGGAAACAGGUGCUAAUACCGCAUAACAGUUUAUGCCGCAUGGCAUAAGAGUGAAAGGCGCUUUCGGGUGUCGCUGAUGGAUGGACCCGCGGUGCAUUAGCUAGCUGGUGAGGUAACGGCUCACCAAGGCCACGAUGCAUAGCUGACCUGAGAGGGUGAUCGGCCACACUGGGACUGAGACACGGCCCAGACUCCUACGGGAGGCAGCAGUAGGGAAUCUUCGGCAAUGGACGAAAGUCUGACCGAGCAACGCCGCGUGAGUGAAGAAGGUUUUCGGAUCGUAAAACUCUGUUGUUAGAGAAGAACAAGGACGUUAGUAACUGAACGUCCCCUGACGGUAUCUAACCAGAAAGCCACGGCUAACUACGUG